GGGUACUUAGCUCAGGGGUAGAGCAUCGUCGUGACAAGGCGAAGGCCGGGGGUUCGAGACCCUCAGUACCUACCA
rnacentral:tRNA from 1 species